rnacentral:rRNA from 1 species
GAUGAACGCUGGCGGCGUGCCUAAUACAUGCAAGUCGAGCGGACAGACGAGGAGCUUGCUCCUCUGACGUUAGCGGCGGACGGGUGAGUAACACGUGGAUAACCUACCUAUAAGACUGGGAUAACUUCGGGAAACCGGAGCUAAUACCGGAUAAUAUAUUGAACCGCAUGGUUCAAUAGUGAAAGACGGUUUUGCUGUCACUUAUAGAUGGAUCCGCGCCGCAUUAGCUAGUUGGUAAGGUAACGGCUUACCAAGGCAACGAUGCGUAGCCGACCUGAGAGGGUGACCGGACACAGUGGGACGGAGAUACGGCCCGGACUCCUACGGGAGGCAGCAGUGGGGAAUAUUGCACAAUGGGCGGAAGCAUGAUGCAGCAACGCCGCGUGCGAGAUGACGGCCUUCGGGUUGUAAACCGCGUUCGCCUGUGACGAAGCGUGAGUGACGGGAAUGGGUAAAGAAGGACCGGCUAACUACGUG